rnacentral:misc_RNA from 4 species
CAACCCUCAAGCUCUGCUUGGUAUUGGGCAACGUCCGCUGCCGGACGUGCCUUGAAGACCUCGGCGACGGCGUCCUAGCCUCGAGCGUAGUAGUAAAAUAUCUCGCUUUGGAGUGCUGGGCGACGGCCGCCGGACAAUCGACCUUCGGUCUAUUUUUCCAA